AGUGAACGCUGGCGGUAGGCCUAACACAUGCAAGUCGAACGGCAGCACAGGAGAGCUUGCUCUCUGGGUGGCGAGUGGCGGACGGGUGAGGAAUACAUCGGAAUCUACUCUGUCGUGGGGGAUAACGUAGGGAAACUUACGCUAGUACCGCAUACGACCUACGGGUGAAAGCAGGGGAUCUUCGGACCUUGCGCGAUUGAAUGAGCCGAUGUCGGAUUAGCUAGUUGGCGGGGUAAAGGCCCACCAAGGCGACGAUCCGUAGCUGGUCUGAGAGGAUGAUCAGCCACACUGGAACUGAGACACGGUCCAGACUCCUACGGGAGGCAGCAGUGGGGAAUAUUGGACAAUGGGCGCAAGCCUGAUCCAGCCAUACCGCGCGGGUGAAGAAGGCCUUCGGGUUGUAAAGCCCUUUUGUUGGGAAAGAAAUCCAGCUGGCUAAUACCCGGUUGGGAUGACGGCACCCAAAGAAUAAGCACCGGCUAACUUCGUGCCAGCCGCCGCCGUAA
rnacentral:rRNA from 1 species